CUCCGCCGGCGACCGGCGCACGGGUGCGUAACGCGUAUGCAACCUACCUUUAACAGGGGCAUAACACUGAGAAAUUGGUACUAAUUCCCCAUGACAUUCGAGAAGGCAUCUUCUUGGGUUAAAAACUCCGGUGGUUAAAGAUGGGCAUGCGUUGUAUUAGCUAGUUGGUGAGGUAACGGCUCACCAAGGCAACGAUACAUAGGGGGACUGAGAGGUUAACCCCCCACAUUGGUACUGAGACACGGACCAA
rnacentral:rRNA from 1 species